rnacentral:rRNA from 1 species
AACGAACGCUGGCGGCAUGCCUAACACAUGCAAGUCGAACGAGACCUUCGGGUCUAGUGGCGCACGGGUGCGUAACGCGUGGGAACCUGCCCUUAGGUUCGGAAUAACUCCCCGAAAGGGGUGCUAAUACCGGAUAAUGUCUUCGGACCAAAGAUUUAUCGCCUUUGGAUGGGCCCGCGUUGGAUUAGCUAGUUGGUAGGGUAAAAGCCUACCAAGGCGACGAUCCAUAGCUGGUCUGAGAGGAUGAUCAGCCACACUGGGACUGAGACACGGCCCAGACUCCUACGGGAGGCAGGAGUGGGGGAUAUUUGACAAUGGGCGGAAGCCUGAUCCAGCCAUGCCGCGUGAGUGAUGAAGGCCUUAGGGUUGUAAAGCUCUUUUACCCGGGAUGAUAAUGACAGUACCGGGAGAAUAAGCUCCGGCUAACUCCGUG